AACCUUAUGGACCUGCGGGCGUAUACCUGCGGAAGGAUCAUUACAACAAGGUUCCCUGGCCCUCGAAGCUUCGGCGGAGGGGCGCUACAGCCUGACUUUAUACCCACCCUUUGCCUAUGUGUACCCCUAUUGCUUCCCUCGGCGGGCUCGCCCGCCGACAGGAACCAACUAAACCCUUUGCAUUAUACAUUUAACACUUCCGAUACAAAACCAAAUUAUUACAACUUUUAGCAACGGAUC
rnacentral:misc_RNA from 1 species